GGGGUUGUAGCUCAGUUGGUAGAGUACUUGCAUGGCAUGCAAGGGGUCGUGAGUUCAAGUCUCAUCAGCUCCACCA
rnacentral:tRNA from 1 species